UGUCCUAAUGCAGAACUGAGCGCGAUGAGGGUAAAUCCGGAUCUCGACUUCUUUCCCACCAUCAGCAGAAGAACCGAAGGAGAAGAAGUGCCUGACCAACAACCAGAAGCUCUGAUACCACAGCAGCUGGAGGACACAGAUCACAGCAUGGAGGCCUCACCGACUCCCACAACGUCUGCAGCCAUCACGUUCUGGGCUCAUCAGAUGAACCAGCUACUACAAGCCCUGCACCAGCAUGAAAAGACUGUGUCUGAAGCUUCAAAGGCCGUGAAACUGUCAUACACGCGUGUGUGUCCGACACAGACACCUGCUUAUAACAAUCAGCAAAGGAAAACAAGGACAGAGCAACAGCAGAGAAGACGUGCUCUGACACAGACACUGGUUGAAACAACAGGAGAGGCUUCAGACGUGAUCGGCCCAAUAGAGCUACAUUCGAGGAUCCAGGAAAGGUCUGUCAUUGAGGAACAACUGUCCCAUCGAAAGGCUUCACCCACUGGCGCUCACAUCAGACUGAUGGUUGGGGAAGGAGGAAGGUGACGGUUCCUUUUCACGUGACGUACAAGACGUUCCACACGUCCCUCUGUGAAAACAUGAUGGAGACAGAUGCAGGACGUGGGUCCUUUCGUGAACAGAUGUCAACGGGGUGGAGACUGGUGAACGACUUCUGACCCCAUGUGACGUAUUCACCUACUUUGCAUACUUUUUGAAAACUUUUUAUUCUGCCUGUCAUGUGCAGCAAACAGUGAACUUGAUACCCCCACAUUCUAAUGACACACUACAUGCUUUUGUUUUUAUUUUCAUUUUUCUGACCCAAUACUCAGCCUUACAGGAAGCCCUGCUUCCCUGUGGCUCACACACAGACAUGAUGUAGGUUUGAUCAGAGGAUGUGAACCAGUGGUCAUCACACCUAAAUCUGACCACAGACCAUGUAAACAACAACACCCUCUGAAAGGAAGCCAUAGAUGGUGUUACUGCAGACACCACUAAGCUACUGAAACAUUGGAUGCUACAGGCCACAAAGAGAGCCUGUCUAAAUUACAGUUUGUUCAGACUAAGGUUAUUUUCUGGGUCAUUGUAAUUACAGCUGAUGGCAGAUCCAUCUCACCCAACAGAGUUAAAGCAAUUUGAAACCUGUCUAAACUGUGCACGUAUAAACAGCUUAUUUUUUCUAGGUCUUUGUUCUUAUUGUAGGACCUUCAGUCCUAACUUUACUGUCUUUGAGGCCCCACUCAGGGUUCUGAUGCAGACAUCUUCAUCGUCCACUUCUUGUCUCACGUGGACGUCUGAGGCUGAACAACGUUCACUGACCUCAUGCUUGCUCUUCAGUUGGCUCCUACUUUGGGUCUUCCUGAUCUGACCCUACGCGACCUUUCACUCAAACAGUGGAUGAGAAAUCAGGUUGUACGACUUCUGUUCUUUUGUCCUCAUACUUUGAUUCUUUUGGAAUAGAUCCCAUCUUUCUACAGCCCGAUGGCUUAGAUGCAACACCAUCUUGCUCAACAUGCUGAACAUAACUGUCAAGAGGCCGUCUUGAAGUCUGGCGCUUUGCUAAGACACUACUCUGCUCAGGCUGCAGAGUUGAUCGCGUUGACUGAAGCUGGUUAACUAAAAGUCUGUUACCAUCUACAAAGACUCCACAGACGCUUGUCAUACGUUGGUUCUCUGUGGAAGCAUAGGAAGCUUCUGAAGUCUGAUUGCAAACCUAUCUCACAUCAUGAUUAGGUUCUGCUUUGCUGGACGCUGUCCUGCUGCCUACAGCUAAUGCUGUUUGUAACUGUCCGACUCACACCCUUAGUGAUGACUUUGUUUCUGCCGACAUGCAGCUGCAGACGCUGCUGCGAAGGUCACUGCCAUACAACCCCUCCCUCUCCUCAUCUUAGUUCCCUCUCCUCAUCCUCGUUUCCUCUCAAACUCUCUCUAUCCUCUCCUCCUCUCUCCCUGUGCUUUAAACAUUUUCUACCUCACAGGAACGCAGACUCUGGCAGACGAAUGGUUCCACCUGUAGCCACGGAGUCUGGUUUAGGCCUGAUGGCAGCCGUGCCGCCCAAACACUUUUUCCCCACAAUUCAGAUUUCCCAACAGGCAAAAACAGGCCACAGGACCACUACACCAUCCAACCAGGGGACUGGGCGAUCGUUAAGGAGUUCAGGAGGAAGCACUGGGACUCCAAACGGUGGCGAGGCCCCUUCCAGGACCUUCGACCCACACGGCUGUAAAGAUCGCAGAGAGAGCGACUUGGAUCCAACUCCAUCCAGGAAGGUCCCGGAUCCGACAGACGACCCUCCAUCUACACCACUCGGAGAAAACCACCACUAAAGAAAAGAAUUGAGAAGGACGACCCUCGCUGUGCUCACACACGCACUGAGGCGAGGCUGCAUUGACCGUUCAGCUAAAGGUGUGAGCCAAGCGCCGCCUGAAGCUGCGCCGAUGAAUCACACUAUCAGACCAUACAUCUACACACACGCUCCUGAGAAAACACACACACGAGCAGCCUUGAGUUGCCGACGCUGGACGACGUGUAGACUCUUCACAUCACGGGAGUGACAGUGACUCAGACGACAUUGGGAGGAAACCUGGCAGUGAUAACGAAUCCCAAGUGUCUCUGAUCAGCUGAUCACAACCUGAAGAACUCCAACGAACUGGGAAUACAUCAACACACAGGUUGGAAACAAUCUAACCCUACUGUUCAACAGGAUGAAGCAGAUUGUUAUGAGACAUCAAUUGUGACCUUGUUGUGUUAGACAUUUUAUGUUACUCUGAUUGUUGCCUUUAGCAUAUGAUGUUUCUAUGUAACUUUACACACUACUUUUGAAUGAGAAAAUUUCACAUAAUUCACAACGACACUGAGUUUAAAUAUCCUGAAGUUGAUUUGGUGUUUAAAUUGCUCACAAUCACUUUAUUCACUGCUACAAAAUUUUUUAUCCUUCAUCUACAGAUGAAAGACAACACAAGCGGAAAUAUGCAUCAUCAUUCUGGUUAAAUCCCUGAAUCUCCUAUUCGCUCCAGACGCAAAUGUACAAUUAAAGAUCCGAAAGCAUGAAAUCUAUCUUAAGAUUAUAUGAUACAGAACCCCACCGGAAACCUAUGGCUAUCAUACAUUAAUUGUCUUUAUUACAUUACAAAUGAAUGGCCGUAGACAUGUUGUUAGCAGAGAAAAGAGGCGUUUGUGUUAUGUUUGGAUACGCAUGUUGUACUUACAUCCUGAAUAACACUGAUUCUAAUGGUAUUGUGGCGAAGGCGCUCCACGGCCUUCAGAGUCUCAGCUAACUCUGGUAUAGGUUCUUUCUCUUGGAAUUGGCUAGACGAAAUGUCGGGAAAAUGGAAAUCUGUUCUCAUGUCCGCAGCUGUUUCCUUUAUCAUUGAGAUGGCUUUGAUUCUCUUGUUUGGUUUUUGCGCUACCCCACUGGUUAGAGGUCUCAUCAUGCGUGCGACCUCAGCAACACUCUCGUAUCAAAUGACACAAUGUACUAUGUUCAAAAACCCCAACUCUAAUUCACGUAAUGACUUUGACGAUGGUCUUAGGCUAUCUGAUCACAAAAUAUAAUCUGAUACAAAUAUGACUAUUGGCUUAUUUUCUUCACAUGCCAAUACAGAGGUUAUUCUUUUAUAACUACC